UACGGGGGGGGCAAGCGUUGUUCGGAAUUACUGGGCGUAAAGGGCUCGUAGGUGGCCAACUAAGUCAGACGUGAAAUCCCUCGGCUUAACCGGGGAACUGCGUCUGAUACUGGAUGGCUUGAGUUCGGGAGAGGGAUGCAGAAUUCCAGGUGUAGCGGUGAAAUGCGUAGAUAUCUGGAAGAAUACCGGUGGCGAAGGCGGCAUCCUGGACCGACAUUGACGCUGAACGGCGAAAGCUAGGGGAGCAAACGGG
rnacentral:rRNA from 1 species